GACACGACUCUCGGCAAUGGAUAUCUCGGCUCUCGCAUCGAUGAAGAGCGCAGCGAAAUGCGAUACGUGGUGCGWAUUGCAGAAUCCCGCGWAC
rnacentral:rRNA from 1 species